rnacentral:rRNA from 1 species
UUGAACGCUGGCGGCAUGCUUUACACCUGCAAGUCGAACGGUAACAGGCCGCAAGGUGCUGACGAGUGGCGAACGGGUGAGUAAUGCAUCGGAACGUGCCCAGUCGUGGGGGAUAACUACUCGAAAUAGUAGCUAAUACCGCAUACGACCUAUGGAUGAACGCGGGGGACCGUAAGGCCUCGCGCGAUUGGACCGGCCGAUGUCAGAUUAGGUAGUUGGUGGGGUAAAGGCUCACCAAGCCAACGAUCUGUAGCUGGUCUGAGAGGACGACCAGCCACACUGGGACUGAGACACGGCCCAGACUCCUACGGGAGGCAGCAGUGGGGAAUUUUGGACAAUGGGCGCAAGCCUGAUCCAGCAAUGCCGCGUGCAGGAAGAAGGCCUUCGGGUUGUAAACUGCUUUUGUACGGAACGAAACGGCUCUGGUUAAUACCCGGGGCUAAUGACGGUACCGUAAGAAUAAGCACCGGCUAACUACGUG